rnacentral:lncRNA from 1 species
UUACCACAAACAUGAUGAAAUGUUUACAGGGAAAAUACUGAAUGUUGAUGAUAAACUCUCUCACUGAUGUAGCCUUUUUGGAACACCACAGAAAAAUUAAAUUAACCAGUCUUUUUAAUAGCAUGUAUUUUUCUCAACUUUUGCAGGUAGUCAGAAAGACUUGUUUAAUGAGGAUGUUCUUUGUAGUGCAGGGAACUUUACAAUUAGAUGGAAGGCUGUAGAAAAGGCCUGAUUUUGAGGAAAGGGAUGCAGCAAGAAUGAAAUAAGUUGUUUUGAGUUCAUAUUCAAAGCUUUGAAGAGAAAGCAAAUGGAGGUCAUCCCAAGAAUUUUGCUGUAGAAAGACUGACAGAAUAACUGGAAGCAUAGAUUUUUGGAGGCUGUGCAGUUCAGGAAGCAACUUCAACCAGAAAUGUUCCUAUGUCCAUUGGGAAUGGUGUGGAUCAGAGCUAUUUUUUGUAAAUCAAAAUAGUAUCAAGACAAACAUUGGAACAGUUGCUUUUGCUGAGGGCAAUGUGUUUACUCUGCAGUGGGUGUACAAGGAACAUCAGCAAGGAAACUCUUUUUGGGAGUUGGAACUCUGGGUAUUGGAGCAACUUCACCAAUGACCAGGAUUUAGAUACAGAAAGGAAACGAGAAUAGAAGAUGGAAGAGAAAUGGCGGAUAGAAACGGAUCGAUUUCUAGAUUAUGAUAUCGAAAACUAUGAUUUUGAGUCUUCAUUGCUAACACAAGGACCUGCAGUGAGGAAGAUCGUUUUGCACUAAAGCCACUGCAUGGACAUUGUAACUGGAAUGACGAGUAGGCUUGAAUUGUAUGGAAUCAACACCAAAACUAUUACCUAGUAUUUCUUUAAAGAAAAGGGAAGCAAGAACCCAAGACAUGAAGUGAAAUUGCUCAUGUUACAUAUGAAUUUGGUUCAAGGUGUGCUCUUGAGGAUACAUAAUGCAUUUGCUGCUUCACUUUGGACACAUGGAAGUACGUGUUCAGAAGGGAAUUGACCACGGAAGCUUUCAGAAGAUGGACAGCUGUUUAAUGUUGCAAGAUGUCCAGGGUAAUGCACUGAGUUUCCACACUGGAUGCACGGUUUCUCCACUUGGCAAUGAUAUCAAAUUGCCAAUGGAAUAUUAUGGCUAUAUAACAUUGGAUGGUUAAGAAAUGCUGAGUGGUACUUGUGGAAAAUCUCAUCAGUUUUUAUUUCAAGCAUAUUAUUUUGCAUAUUAUUUGAAGAUUCCCUUUAUCAGAAAGUUUCUAGGAAGAUGUAAGAUGUGUGAUUUGGUUAAAGGUAUUCAGAGCAUAAUAACUUUUUUUUUUUUUGUCAUUAUGUUGCCUUCAUAAUUUUUGUAUGAUACAAUGUACUCUUGAUUCAGGAAACAUUGUUAAUUGAUAAAAAUAAAUUAGCAUGUCAACUCUGUA